AGCUCCUUCGUGGACUCCGCGGGACUCCGCGCCCUGCCCUGCUCACCGCGGCGGGGGAGGGGAGAGCGCCCCACACAGGAAGUGCAUCCUGCGCCCCUAGCUCGCGCCCCGCCGCCGCCGGGUACCUGCCCUGGGCCGCGGGCAGGCGACAGGCAGCCGCAUCCACAUGGCCUCAGGUGUUCGCGCAGCUGCUCCGCCAGCCCCAGCCGGCCCCUCCCGGGCCCGCUCCAAGCCCGGCCCUCCACCACGGGUGCCUCGCCCCCAGCCCGCGGCCAAGAGGCCAGCAACGCCGGUCUCCGCGGGGCUGCCAAGAGCGUGGACCCCUCAGCACCUCAGGCCGCAACGACCAGAUGCAAGAGGAAGGAGAAGGGUUUGAAUUAUGUGUCCCUAAAACUACUGAUUCUACACUAAGCCUGCAUCCAGCCUAGAUGUUGGGGAGUCUGUGGCUUCCCCUCAUAAAGCAACCCAACUUGAGAGGAAACUGGAAUCCAAAACAUGCUUUGGGUGUAAGGUCUCACUUUGCCUCGGGGACAAGAAGGAUACCAGAGAGCUCACGAGGAACAGGAUGCAGAGAAACACUGGGUCCAGUCCCUGCCUCCUUCCCUACGGUAGCCCCCUCCCUACUCUUUCAGUCCCUUUCAGAACACUAUCCAGGUGACCACCACAUGGAAGCUUGCCCCAUUCUACAGCCAGAUCUGCUGGGACCCUACCAUGUGCCUUUGAAGUAUCACACAGAGGAAACACCUUCAUUGAAAUCAUGACCAGCAGACAGCUCUCAAGGACAACUGCCAAGCACAUGUGUGAUGCCUUGGGAACAGAAAGCAGCAGGAAUCAUGGAUUCUCCAACUCACCACCAGUCCUUGACUCCAGCCUCUCUUUUGUGAGCCACUCAUCCCUACCGCCAAUUCACUGCAGUCCCAUGAGUACUUCUGCCUGGCUAAACAGUGUGCAGUGGCUUCCAAAGUCCCACUCUCCUGGACACAAAGCCCUCUCUUGGCUUAACUCGAAGUGCCAACCUCCACUCCCUUGUUUCAUUGUCUCUGCCAAACCAAACAAGUUGUGUCCCUGGCCUAGCCUAUUCCCAGAGGCAGAGGAGCCUGCCUCCACAGAGACUAAGGUAUUUCUACCUUGCUUUUUCAGGUCCAACUCAAAUGCUGCCUCCUUAAUAACCAUUCAUUCAUUCAUUCACUCAACACUGGCUGAGUCUUUAUCAUAUUCCAAGCAUUGAAUAAAGGGUCCUUGUUGUCAUGA